UACGGAGGAUGCGAGCGUUAUCCGGAUUUAUUGGGUUUAAAGGGUGCGUAGGCGGUCCGUUAAGUCAGCGGUAAAAUUGCGGGGCUCAACCCCGUCGAGCCGUUGAAACUGGCAGAUUUGAGUUGGCGAGAAGUACGCGGAAUGCGCGGUGUAGCGGUGAAAUGCAUAGAUAUCGCGCAGAACUCCGAUUGCGAAGGCAGCGUACCGGCGCCACACUGACGCUGAGGCACGAAAGCGUGGGGAUCGAACAGG
rnacentral:rRNA from 1 species